GCAGCGACGCCGCGUGGGUGAUGAAGGCCUUCGGGUCGUAAAGCCCUGUCGGAGGGGAAGAAGGACUACGGUGCGAAUAGUUCCGUGGUCUGACGGUACCCUCAAAGGAAGCACCGGCUAACUCCGUGCCAGCACCGCGGUAA
rnacentral:rRNA from 1 species